AGGUGUGGGGGUUAAUAGCCUUUGCAUUUGACGGUACCCGGAGAGGAAGCCCCGGCUAACUCUGUGCCAGCAGCCGCGGUAAUACAGAGGGGGCAAGCGUUAUUCGGAAUUAUUGGGCGUAAAGGGCGCGUAGGCGGCUUUUUAAGUGAGAUGUGUAAUCCCCGAGCUCAACUUGGGAACUGCAUCUCAUACUGGGAGGCUAGAGUACUGGAGAGGGUGGUAGAAUUCCACGUGUAGCGGUGAAAUGCGUAGAGAUGUGGAGGAAUACCGGUGGCGAAGGCGGCCACCUGGACAGUAACUGACGCUGGGGC
rnacentral:rRNA from 1 species